GACGAAGGUGGCGAGCGUUGUUCGGAAUCACUGGGCAUAAAGCGCACGUAGGCGGCUAGGUAAGUCGGAUGUGAAAUACCUCGGCUCAACCGAGGAACUGCGUCCGAUACUGCCUGGCUUGAGGUCCGGAGGGGAGAGUGGAAUUCCCGGUGGAGCGGUGAAAUGCGUAGAGAUCGGGAAGAACGCCGGCGGCGAAAGCGACUCUCUGGUCGGAAUCUGACGCUGAGGUGCGAAAGCUAGGGGAGCAAACGGG
rnacentral:rRNA from 1 species